GACGAACGCUGGCGGCGUGCUUAACACAUGCAAGUCGAACGGAAAGGCCCUGCUUUUGUGGGGUGCUCGAGUGGCGAACGGGUGAGUAACACGUGAGUAACCUGCCCUUGACUUUGGGAUAACUUCAGGAAACUGGGGCUAAUACCGGAUAGGAGCUCCUGCUGCAUGGUGGGGGUUGGAAAGUUUCGGCGGUUGGGGCUGGACUCGCGGCUUAUCAGCUUGUUGGUGGGGUAGUGGCUUACCAAGGCUUUGACGGGUAGCCGGCCUGGGAGGGUGACCGGCGACCAUGGGACUGAGAGACGGACCAGUAGCCAACGGGAGGCAGUAGGGGGGAAUCUUGCGGAAUGGGGGGAAGCCUGAUGUAGCAACGCCGCGUGCGGAAUGACGGCCUUCGGGGUAUAAACCGCUGUCGACGGUGACGAAGCGGUAGUGACGGUAAUGGGUAAAGAAGCACCGGCUAACUACGUG
rnacentral:rRNA from 1 species